rnacentral:snoRNA from 1 species
UUAAAAUUUUAUAAAGGUUUCCUAAAGUAAAUUUUAUAAAAAAAUUAAUUAUAUUCAUUUUUUAUGAAGAAGGAAAAUUAAUCUAGCCA